CAACUGUGAUUCCCUUAGUAAUGGCGAAUGAAACGGGAACMGGGCAUCGCGGAACUGCAGGUCAUCUUGGCCUCGCGGAAUGUCGCGUUCGGGAGAGUCUUCUCGAGGACCGGACGGCCAGUCAAAGUCCAACUUGACAGUGGCCACUGCCCAUAGAGGGUGAUAGGCCCGUAAGGCGGCUGUCCGUUUUCGCUGACUUUUUCCCUAGAGUCGGGUUGCUUGGGAGUGCAGCCCAAAGUGCGAGGUAAACUCCUCGUAACCCUAAAUAUGACCCCGAGACCGAUAGCAAACAAGUACGGUGACGGAAGAUUGAAAAGAACUUUGAAGAGAGAGUUCAGUCAUAGCUGUUUCC
rnacentral:rRNA from 1 species